AUGCGCAAUCAUCCGUCGCUAACCGCCCCGUGCCGCAAGCUCUCCUACAAGUUCUUCGGCCCUUUUGAGGUGACAGAGCGGAUUGGAUCACUGGCUUAUCGCCUGCAGCUGCCUCCAGACAGCCGCAUCCACUCGGUAUUCCAUGUCUCCCAGCUCAAGCCUUUCACCCCGAACUACGCUCCAGUCUUCGCGGAGCUGCCUCGAGUGCCCGACCUCACCGGUGGAGAAGCUGAGCCCGUGGCCAUCCUGGAGCGGAGGAUGAUGAAGAAAGGAGAUGCACCUGUCAUGCAACUGCGUGUUCAGUGGGCCAACAUGCCGCCAUCAGCCACCACUUGGGAGGACUACGACGUUCUUCGCCAACGCUACCCAUCAGCCUGUAUCUGGGAAGGAGCUCCAUCUUAA
rnacentral:rRNA from 1 species